rnacentral:rRNA from 1 species
GAUGAACGCUGGCGGCGUGCUUAACACAUGCAAGUCGAACGGAAAGGCCCAAGCUUGCUUGGGUACUCGAGUGGCGAACGGGUGAGUAACACGUGGGUGAUCUGCCCUGCACUUCGGGAUAAGCCUGGGAAACUGGGUCUAAUACUGGAUAGGACCACUUCUUGGAUGUUGUGGUGGAAAGUUUUUUCGGUGUGGGAUGAGCUCGCGGCCUAUCAGCUUGUUGGUGGGGUAAUGGCCUACCAAGGCGUCGACGGGUAGCCGGCCUGAGAGGGUGUACGGCCACAUUGGGACUGAGAGACGGCCCAGACUCCUACGGGAGGCAACAGUGGGGAAUAUUGCACAAUGGGCGCAAGCCUGAUGCAGCGACGCCGCGUGGGGGAUGACGGCCUUCGGGUUGUAAACUCCUUUCGCUAGGGACGAAGCGUUUUGUGACGGUACCUGGAGAAGAAGCACCGGCUAACUACGUG